rnacentral:lncRNA from 1 species
GGGUUGUCAAUGCUCUUCAGCGUUGUUGAUAAUAUCGCCACUGGAAUAUGACAGUUGUUAACCAUUCGUUUGAUGUGUUUGAGCUUUUGAUCUUGCCAUUUCAUUAGUACUUUCAAUUUGAAUUUUCCUCUGAGUUCAGUAUUUUUUUCUGAUUUUACAUUUUAAUAUUUAUCAAACUGUUCAGUACCACCCACAUGACAGUCAUUAAAAUAUUUGGCACAAGUCUUUUGGACUUGGGGUUUCUAUGCUCUUCAAGUUUGUAGAUGAUUUUCUCUUUUUAUUGUUUCGUUUCUGAAUGCCUGGCGAGUCUUUUGAAGAAAAAAACGCGCAUCUUUC